UUACUGUUGAGGAGAAACUCAAGAUAACUGCCCAGCAUGAAGGUGUCAAGCCCGUAAUGGCCAUCGCAUGUAUGCUAGGCCAUUGUGUUUGAAAGAGCUUGGCAUGAUGUUACUGAGAGAAACCUCACCUGCCUUACCUCGCAAGCUUCGACUUGGGCAUCUUAUGCUCAACACUACCAAUCGCCACUUGUUAAAGGGAGCCGGGACAGCUGAACCCAAGUGCAGCGUUGUUCAUCUGAAGUUGAGGGAAGAGGCAAGUUCUCAAAACCAGGGACAGGCGAAGGGUCGGUGGAUCAGCCAACAGGACAAGAACGAGGAUCCAUGGACGUGGUCGGGAAACGAAGCAAGGAGUCAAAAACCGGAGAUCGUGAACAGAGAAUAGAGUAAGUGGGUGUGCGAAGUAAUGUGAGGAAGGGCGGUUGUCCCAAACGAGAUUCCUCAACGUUACGGGAGCUGAAGAGGGUCUUUAUAGGGUGAGCGAUUACUCAGGAGCUAGUGCAGAGUCAGGUGUUGUCGCUUGUGUUGUGGGCGUGGAUGUGACAGUGUUGACUGUGAAGUGUAACAUCUUACAAUUACUUUGGGAAAUAUUUAUGUGAAAUAAGUCAGUCCAGGUGGUCUUUUGAGCCAGGGACUUCUUGGGAAGUCCACCUUUAUUCCAUAUCCCUCCUUCCAGGCUCAUCUGUGGGGUUUUCCCAGCCACGUGUCCACGUGUUUUCUCAACCAGCGCCUUGUUCCUCUACAGUCCCCAUGCUGAUUCCAGCAAAAAUCCACUCAGAGUUCUUUCCGAUGGCCUUGUACAGGCAAAAAAAAAGUGCACUGGAGUCCUCGUUUCCUGGCCUUUCAGGGCCAUUCUACCCAAUGCAGAUGAAAAAAGGGGCACCAAAUUUGCACAGUGUGCUUCUGAAAAGCACCCUGCCAUUUCCGAUUAGCUUUUAAGAGCUGGAGUCCAUGCAAAAGGUUCCCUGAGAAUGGAAAAAAUUGUGAUAGGGCCUCAGCUUAGAAAGGGUAUGUUCUUCAUGUCGGCUAGAAAAAAACACAAUCGGGGAAAAAGAAAGGUAACAGGCACUGGGCGGGGAGGCCUACAUUUUCAGCUUUCAUCAGUUUCUCUGACUUGUAGAUUUGGAAAUCUGUCACCUCUCAUUUUCAUCUUCUAGGGCAGCUGUACAAAUAAUGCUGUUAAAGACCAUGGAAUAUGAUCUGCGUAAGAAAAGAAAAUCUUUCUAUUUUAAGUUUUCAUGAUACUUACCUCCAAAGCCACUUACAAUGAGUUACCUGUUUAUACAGGACAGUACUUUUUACCAUAUUAGUUUCAGGGUAAGUGCUUUGCUCAAGGGUACUACAGCAGGAUGUGGUAAUCAAACCUGGGUCCUUCAGAUCCAAAGGUCAUACCUCUAACCUCUAUCCUGCCUGCCAGCGUUACAAUGAGGCUCACCUCUAAAAUUUUACAAUUUGUAUCCAAUCCAAACACCCUGGGUCAACACCGGUUGGUUACACACAGUGUCUUCCUCACACGCAUGAGUAGUGUGUCGGAUUGAAUGUCAUGCAUGGAACGUGCACCUUCUCAGACCUCUGCCACAUGAUGACAAUUAGCUAAGGGGAAGCAGUGACCCCAUUGCACCCUUGAAGAGGCAUACAUUCUUUGAACAGCAAGGUGACCCCAGAAAUAAAGAACAAAGCAUUUAAAGUCA
ensembl:lncRNA